rnacentral:misc_RNA from 1 species
AGAAAAAAAAAAGUCAAAUUUUGUGUUUAAUACAUUUAAGAAAAGGUUUAAGUGCAAAAAAGGACCUUUAUUUAUUUGGCAGAAACCCUUUGUAUCCUUGUUAAAAAUUAAAACUUUGUAGCCCUAACUGAUAGCAGAAAUAAACUUGUUAAUAUCACUCAGGUGAUGUCUAAAACUGAAAAUGAAAUACUGAUCUACGGCAGUGGAUUUGAUGUUUGGUCUGAAGGUGUGGGGUCCUAUCCCUUCGUUCUUGUCUGAUGUGUUGUCUCACGAUCUUUUGGUUUAAUAUUAUGCUUUAUUUUCAUAAAAAAAUAGUUAAAUUUUAAGUGUUGGAUAAGACAAGUACUGAAAACUUUAAAUUGUAAAGUUGUUUGGCAUGUGUUGAAAAUAAAGUAGUAAAUCUA